AUUGAACGCUGGCGGCAGGCCUAACACAUGCAAGUCGAACGAGUGGCGGACGGGUGAGUAAUGUCUGGGAAACUGCCCGAUGGCGGGGGAUAACUACUGGAAACGGUAGCUAAUACCGCAUACCAUCGGAUGUGCCCAGAUGGGAUUAGCUAGUAGGUGGGGUAAUGGCUCACCUAGGCGACGAUCCCUACCUGGUCUGAGAGGAUGUACAGCCAGACUGGAACUGAGAAACGGUACAGACUCCUACGGGAGGCAGCUGUGGGGAAUAUGUCACAAUGGGCGCAAGCCUGAUGCAGCCAGGCCGCGGGUAUGAAGAAGGCCUUAGGGUUGUAAAGUACUUUCAGCGGGGAGGCGUUACUCGCAGAAGAAGCACCGGCUAACUCCGUGCCAGCAGCCGCGGUAAUAC
rnacentral:rRNA from 1 species